rnacentral:ribozyme from 1 species
UGCCCAACAACUCCUAUCCUUACCUCCACGUGGUACCGGCUGGUAACUACGAGCAACCUUAGGGAAGA